rnacentral:lncRNA from 1 species
GGUUGAAGAUGAAAUCCACUGAGGAGGGAAGUCCAGCACCCUGUGUGCCAGUCCAGAACUGGCCCAUCUGUAGACCCCCUGAAAAUCAUAUGGGCUUGGAUUUGGAUAUUCUCAACAGAAAGGGUUAAAGGCUGAUGGUACCUAAAGCCUGGUACUUGAAUUUUGAUCAAGAUAAGCUGCCUUAAGUUCUCUUCAUUACACAAAUGAUCCUAGAUAAUUGAUAGAUCCUGUGGUUCAACUGGAUUUCUAGAUAGAAGCUGGAUUCAUGUGAUGCCAGAGGAGUAAAAUUUCAAGAGACUGAAACCAGAUCUGAGUUUCGCUGUUCCAGUCUGGACCUCUUUGGUGCUGUAAAUCCUGGAUAUACUGUAGAUGAGUACUGCGUUUUUCUUUUAUGGCCUCUCUUCAGCUUCUGGAGACCUCACUAUCCUAUUAUGUCUUUGUGUGAAGACAUGCUGCUUUGUAAUUAUCGAAAGUGUCGCAUCAAACUCUCUGGCUAUGCAUGGGUCACUGCCUGCUCUCACAUCUUCUGUGAUCAGCAUGGCAGUGGUGAGUUUAGUCGCUCACCAGCUAUCUGUCCUGCCUGCAACAGUACCCUUUCUGGAAAGCUAGAUAUUGUCCGCACA